GAUGAGAGAGGAUGUAGGGAAAGAUGAAUUAGAAUACAUAUGUAUAAAACUAUGGAAGAACCAAAUUAAUUUUAAAAUUUAAAGUAUCUCUAGAAAGGAUGAGCUAGUGCUUUUUCUAGACAUGUGCAUUUAAGGCACCUUACUGGUUAAUAAUAAAACCUGCAACUUGGCAGGAAGAUGAGAAGCAGAGGUUAUGGUUUUGCAUCAUGCAUUUGAAGGUGACAGCUGGCUGAAACUCCGGGAGUGCCUAUGUCUUACGGAGAAGGAGAAAGGGGGGCCAGUUUCACAAGUAAGUUUUGUAUUUGAAACACUGAAACAUCCCACUCAGUGAGUGUGAGGUUGAGCACCAGCUCUAGGCUUGUCCAGAGCCUGAGUACACCCAAGACAAGCCAGCCUCUGGGCAAUGCUACCUUGCAUCCAUUUCCAUUGGUUUCUUCCAGUUCCCUCCCCAUCCUAUGCCUUCCUUGCUCCCUGCUCCCUGCUCUGGAAGCUGUCAGCAUGGACAGCAUCAUCUGGCUUCACCAAACCCCACCCUGGCAUUCUGAAGGCAGGAGGAGCCUGAGACGGUGUGCGCAUACAUUUCCUUCACUGGUUCACUGUUGUAUCAUAUAGAGUAGUUGCUUCCUACUCCCCAAGACCUUCUACAGCAAGCAACACACCAAGGUAGCUGCUCUCUCCCUGUGCCUUCUCAGGCAUCACAUGAUGAUAGAUGCUGUUUUUUUUUUUUUUUUACUAUCCCCCUUAUUGGAUAACACUGCCCGUAGUUUGUGUGCUUUUUGUUGAAAACUUUCCUCCUACUUUCUAGUUCCUGUUGGAUCUUACAUCUUGCUUACUGGUAGGAAACCAUGAUCUCCCAGGUGCCAGUACUGUCCUCUGUAAAGAGUGGUUUCUGCUCUGGGAGCCUCAGGCCUGAGAGACAACUAGAGAAGUCCAGGGACUGCACAUCUGCACAUAUGGGCAGGGUUACCAGUUGGUGAAACAUACUACACAUCACCUUGAUUUUCAAAUGUGUAGAAAUGCCUCAGUGAGCCAUGAAAUAGAAUUUUUUGAAAAUAUGAAGUUCAUUUUACCCAAUGUCUUUGUACAUUCCAUCAGAUAAUAAAUGUUAAUAAUAAUGACUAUUUCCAGCUUGAUUAGGGUACAUUUUUGAAUAUAUGGCUCCUACUCACAUGCAACAAAGUUGGGACCUAGUUUUGAGGUGUUUGUUGUAACAGUGGGGGAUUUAAAACCAGGAGGUAGAGUCAGCUGAUCUUAUGAGGACAGGGAAGAAAGAUAACUAAGAAAAACCUCAAAAAACGUUUUUAAAAAUUACUUGUAAGUUUCUCAUUUCAACAAAGAAAUGUAGGUUCUGGGUCCUAGGGUGCAGGAAGAAUAAAAGGAUAGGAAUUACAGCACUCCACUUUCAGUCUCGGCUACACCUUGUCCUUUGUGUGACCCGCUGUGUCUCAAGCAGUGAACAGAGUCUACAGAACACAAAAAUAAACAUCUCCGAGGGCCUGUGGAAUUUGAUGGCCUGUGGAAUGUGGGGCAGACAUCGGGCUGCACGCCAGGCUCUGCAGGUGAACCCUCCCAGGGCCCACACUCCUUUUCAGCCACUCUGUGAAAGGGAAGAGAGGAGAUGCCUGGCAUGAAUUCCCAUUUCUAGGCUUGCCCCACUGUUCUCUCAGAGCCCGGACUUGCCCUUGUGUUUUCAGUGAGCUGUAGUCACUUAGGGCUUCAUGACUUAGGUUCCAGAAAAGUUGACUACAGAGGCUACAAGGUACAGAGAAAGGAUGGAUGAGUUCCUACCCAGUUUCUCAAGCUCCCUGUACCACCUGCCCAUGGGCUUUGAGAAAAUGGUUGGGUUAGAGGGUUGGGGGAGUCCAGUGUUUAUUGACUACUAGUUGUUUCCAGCUUCUAACUUAGGCACACAUUCAAGCAAAAGUUCUCACAAUCUUCCACGAUGCAAAGGGUUAAAUUCUAGCUAGCUGAACUAUUUGACUCUCUGUUCCUUGUGUCUCAACAAUACAAUGGUGAGCCAUGAUUACAGAGUAAGGCAGUGCGCUAUAGACAGGUUGUCCUGUUCUUCAAUAAUAGCCUUCCUAGUGACC
rnacentral:lncRNA from 1 species